rnacentral:rRNA from 1 species
CCACGCCGUAAACGAUGAAUACUAGGUGUGGGGGUUUCAACACCUCCGUGCCGCCGCUAACGCAUUAAGUAUUCCGCCUGGGGAGUACGGUCGCAAGAUUAAAACUCAAAGGAAUUGACGGGGACCCGCACAAGUAGCGGAGCAUGUGGUUUAAUUCGAAGCAACGCGAAGAACCUUACCUACACUUGACAUCCCUUGCAUUACUCUUAAUCGAGGAAAUCCCUUCGGGGACAAGGUGACAGGUGGUGCAUGGUUGU